GCCAGGCAUGGUGGCUCAUGCCUGUAAUCCCAGCACUUUGGAGGCCAAGACGGGUGGAUCACUUGAGGUCAGGAGUUCAAGACCAGCCUGACCAACAUAGUGAAACCCUGUCUCUA
rnacentral:SRP_RNA from 1 species